UCGAGCGGACAGAAGGGAGCUUGCUCCCGGAUGUUAGCGGCGGACGGCUGAGUAACACGUGGGUAACCUGCCUGUAAGACUGGGAUAACUCCGGGAAACCGGAGCUAAUACCGGAUAGUUCCUUGAACCGCAUGGUUCAAGGAUGAAAGACGGUUUCGGCUGUCACUUACAGAUGGACCCGCGGCGCAUUAGCUAGUUGGUGAGGUAACGGCUCACCAAGGCGACGAUGCGUAGCCGACCUGAGAGGGUGAUCGGCCACACUGGGACUGAGACACGGCCCAGACUCCUACGGGAGGCAGCAGUAGGGAAUCUUCCGCAAUGGACGAAAGUCUGACGGAGCAACGCCGCGUGAGUGAUGAAGGUUUUCGGAUCGUAAAGCUCUGUUGUUAGGGAAGAACAAGUGCAAGAGUAACUGCUUGCACCUUGACGGUACCUAACCAGAAAGCCACGGCUAACUACGUGCCAGCAGCCGCGGUAAUACGUAGGUGGCAAGCGUUGUCCGGAAUUAUUGGGCGUAAAGGGCUCGCAGGCGGUUUCUUAAGUCUGAUGUGAAAGCCCCCGGCUCAACCGGGGAGGGUCAUUGGAAACUGGGAAACUUGAGUGCAGAAGAGGAGAGUGGAAUUCCACGUGUAGCGGUGAAAUGCGUAGAGAUGUGGAGGAACACCAGUGGCGAAGGCGACUCUCUGGUCUGUAACUGACGCUGAGGAGCGAAAGCGUGGGGAGCGAACAGGAUUAGAUACCCUGGUAGUCCACGCCGUAAACGAUGAGUGCUAAGUGUUAGGGGGUUUCCGCCCCUUAGUGCUGCAGCUAACGCAUUAAGCACUCCGCCUGGGGAGUACGGUCGCAAGACUGAAACUCAAAGGAAUUGACGGGGGCCCGCACAAGCGGUGGAGCAUGUGGUUUAAUUCGAAGCAACGCGAAGAACCUUACCAGGUCUUGACAUCCUCUGACAACCCUAGAGAUAGGGCUUUCCCUUCGGGGACAGAGUGACAGGUGGUGCAUGGUUGUCGUCAGCUCGUGUCGUGAGAUGUUGGGUUAAGUCCCGCAACGAGCGCAACCCUUGAUCUUAGUUGCCAGCAUUCAGUUGGGCACUCUAAGGUGACUGCCGGUGACAAACCGGAGGAAGGUGGGGAUGACGUCAAAUCAUCAUGCCCCUUAUGACCUGGGCUACACACGUGCUACAAUGGACAGAACACAGGGCUGCGAGACCGCACGGUUUAGCCAAUCCCACAAAUCUGUUCUCAGUUCGGAUCGCAGUCUGCAACUCGACUGCGUGAAGCUGGAAUCGC
rnacentral:rRNA from 1 species